UACGUAGGUCCCGAGCGUUGUCCGGAUUUAUUGGGCGUAUAGCGAGCGCAGGUGGUUUAUUAAGUCUGGUGUAAAAGGCAGUGGCUCAACCAUUGUAUGCAUUGGAAACUGGUAGACUUGAGUGCAGGAGAGGAGAGUGGAAUUCCAUGUGUAGCGGUGAAAUGCGUAGAUAUAUGGAGGAACACCGGUGGCGAAAGCGGCUCUCUGGCCUGUAACUGACACUGAGACUCGAAAGCGUGGGGAGCAAACAGG
rnacentral:rRNA from 1 species